GGUAACGUAUUGGAAACGAUAGCUAAUACCGCAUAAGAGUAGAUGUUGCAUGACAUUUGCUUAAAAGGUGCAAUUGCACCACUACCAGAUGGACCUGCGUUGUAUUAGCUAGUUGGUGGGGUAACGGCUCACCAAGGCGACGAUACAUAGCCGACCUGAGAGGGUGAUCGGCCACACUGGGACUGAGACACGGCCCAG
rnacentral:rRNA from 1 species